AUGGGUAAAACUAUGCAUGGGCCUGGUCCAACUCCCACUUAAGUAAGUAGAAGGAUUCCUUUGAUGUUGAUGGGGGCUGGAUUGGGCAAUCGAUAUAUCUUGCUGUUUAUAUACAGUAGUGUACAAAAGUGUUAAUGCUCUAUAAAUUAGCAAAGACAUUAUUACCAUCUGAAUUUCCAGUGCAGAUAUAUUACCUAAAACAAGCAGUUCCAUGAGCAGUGGAACUAAUGAAGUCUAAUUUUCUAUGAUUUGUAUCUGAGGGUGAAUUUCCAUGUGGUUUCUCUGGAAGCUUUUCCUGUCAUGAGAGCAAUGAAUGGAUUUCCCUCCUCUCCCUGGCCACUUAUUUUCAUGAGAUUUGUAGAAAAUGAAUACAGAUGAGUCUUCUAGCUCUCUGUUGAAUUUGGUUAAAAGUAGACAGGAGGUUUACUAGGGGCUGGCAGAUAGGUGACAUAAAAACUUACAAAUGUUACAGUUACAAGCCACGUUCCUGGGGAAACUGGACUAAAAGAAGUAAAGGAAUGUGCACACUGGACUUUGUAUCAUCAGACUUUGAUAAUAUGCUAAAGGAACAGUUAAUAAGAAACCACAAAUGUAGAUUUAAAAGGAGCCAGAAGUAAUCUGAGUUUUAAUAAGCAACAGAGAAGUCUUGGUUAUCCCCUUAAGCACAGCUAUGCAUUACAUAACCUCAUGACUUCCCAGGGGACAGCAGAGGCAUCUUGUUCCAAUGAGACCCAAUGCCUCCUGGAGCUUCCCAGCAUGCAGACGGUAUUUGAAAUAUUUAUGGUACUGCUAAAUGCCUUUGGGACCAGGUGACUCUCCCAAGAAUUAAGAAUUGCUUUGUAAGCCAGAGCAGAAGGAGAACAUAACUUGCCUUGGUUCUUCACUCUGCCCUUUGGUAAAUGAAGUAGGGAAUAAUCUUACUUCAUUCCUGGGGAAUGCACUCCAAAGAACCAGGGAAAAGUCCUUAAGUGAGUCAGAGGAUGGAAAAGAAGAAUUCACAACAUCAGAUUUUUUUUUUUUCCCCAUUAUUCUUUAUUCUUUCCAUCCUCUAAAUCUGCAUCCUUGACAAGCGUGUUGCAGAAGUAACAAUACAAAUUUGGCCGAAGCCAUAUGGAUCAUUAGAAUUGACUUUGGGGUGUGAGAUGGAGGAUGGAUGAAGCACAAGAGCCAGAAAGAAAGAAAUAUUCUCUUUUAUUUUCCUGUACCAAAGUGGGAUCUGAAAAAGCUUUACUUUGCCAGGAACUUUUGUGCACUGUAGAACAAGACUGUUAUAGUCCAUAUGUUCAAAGAUAACCCUGGAUUUAUCUUUAAAGCACUCAACAUCCAACCCCCCUCUUCUGUUUUCCCUUUGCUUAGCACCCAGCUCUCUGUGUUGAGUGUGAUGGGUGACCUUUUUAAAGAGAGACAUCAUCAGAAAAAGUUUCCUGACAGCGUCCAUGCUCUUAUGUUUUGGAGCAAAGAGGAAGAAUUGCAACUUGUCACUGGCACAGAAGAGGAAGAAAACAUGACACUCUUGGUAUGCCUAGAAAAGCCUCAGAGGACCUUCAGCCUGAAAUCUUGACAGUUCACUCCCAAUGGUGUUGCAACGACUACCUCAGCUUCCAGCCUGAACUAAAUCCUUCAUCUGGAUCCCCAUGUUUUAUUGAGUCAAUGUGCUGCUUUUUGUCCUAUCUUUCAGGGUCUUUUAAGAGUUCCUAGGUCUUUUGUCUGUCAUUGUAGCAGCUUUCUUCUCUUCACAUACAUUUUGCAUUUGUCAUCCUCUGAUAUAAAUGUCUCGGUGCUUCGUUCUGUGCUGCUUUGUGUUUGUGGAGAGCCUCCCCUGAAAUGGAGAGCUACUCAUGCUCUCCUCCUUCAGAUCUUCUGCCUAAAGAUUCUUCCUAAGGAGGGUAGAUUUAGAUAAUCAGUCAAUUGAACUAAUGAUGGCUAACCUGAGGGUUAGGUAGGAAGUUAGGAAGAGGUUUUUUUUUUUUUUUUAAUUGUAAUAUUUAAAAUAUAGUUUUGUAGUAACAUGUCUUUUAAAAAUGGUAUAAGCUUUAUGUUCCCCUUUUUUUUUUGCCACCCACUUGCUCUGUUUCUGAAUUUCUAUUGAUAUUUUAGGUACAGUCUUCAUUUGAUUUGGCCUUAAAAACAUUUUUCUUAACUAAAUGAAAGCGGUGCUUAAGAACAUCUUAAUUAUGACUCUGAUUUAGAAAAGCUAGCAAUCAUUUUUGUGUUUUUAAGUAUGUGAGUACUCUACUAACAUGCUUAAAAUUAAGCAUGUCCUGAAGAGCUUUGCUGAACUGAACCUAAAAUUUCUGAUGCACUUUCAAUAUAAUUUUUGCCAGUAUGAUUUUGUUACCUUUUUCUUAAUGUUAAAAAAAAAGGGAAAAGAAAGGCAAGGCAAGGCAAGGCAAGGCAAGGCAAGGAGGAGAAAAGGAUUCCUUCUCUGCCCUUCUCUGCCAGAGAUUUUAAAAAUAAGAGCAUUUGAUUAAUCAGAUUAGGCUAUGGGUCAGUUUUUUACCACUUUCAUGGAAAUUUUAUUUCUCAUUUGCCCUUAUUUAAGCAUUAUCACUAAAUUGUCAUGAGGAAGAAGAAAGGUCUAAAUCACUAACAAAGAUGGCAAUAUUCAGCAAGUUCUGUAAAAUGUUAUCAGGUCCAUUCAAUGUGCUUCUGUUACUUAAGAACCCCCAGCAGCCUGGUGUUUCUCGAACUAGGCAUGCCAGAGGAGUUGUAUUUGGAACUGGACCAACUCAAAUACUCCUAAUGCAUGGAAGAGAAGUCACUGAGAGUGUCAUCAGUUAGUGUGCAGAAUUGUUUUAAGCAGAGUUUUGAAAGAGCAGCCUUGGAAAAUAUGCUGCUUUCUGAGAAUGCAGUUUUGUAACAUUAAUAAUUGCUCUGAGUGGUAAAUGACAGAAAAUGAAUUGGACUCAAAUCCUUCACGUCUUCACAGGCCGCAUAACUGAGACAGAGAUUACAUUUGGGUUUUGCAGAGAUGAUUAAUCAAUCAUAUAGUUAGCUGUAGCUGGUGCUUGUCCCAGGUGUUCAAAGCAGUACAUAGUUUUUUUGACUGCUCAGAAUAUUAAAAAAAAAUAAAAAUAUCGGAGUUAAAUGGUUGUUUCUGGAUUAUCUGAAUAAAUUGUUUGAUAACAGCCCACAAUUGUUUUGAAGCAAUUUCAAAUGUAUUCCAUAAAGCACAUUAGAACUGCUGCUUAUCUCCCAGGAUCAAAUGGAUAACCAGAAGGCUUUUGUACACACAUUUGGACAGGUACUGGAGAAAAUGAAAUAGAACCUUAUUUGUAAAUACAAACCCUGUAUCUGAGUCUACCAUCCUGUUAAGUUUAAGUGAAGUAUUUCUGAGCAUUAUGAUUUAUUAUAGAUGUGAUUUAUUUUGCACAGGAACUGGAUGAGCACUGUAGAGGAAAUAGAAUCUAUAAUAAACGCCUCCUAGACAUUCUGCAUCCAUCAGUAGGAUAUGCAUGAAAUUACAAGGGAUGAAACAGUUAGGACAAAGGCAUUGUCAAGAAGGUAUACUGCUGGGAGCAUGGCAUUGCUGCUUUCAAAAGAAGGGGUGUAAUGAAGAAAUAUAUUGACCAGCUGUUACCAGACAGAAAGGUUCAGGAAGAGAAAAGUGUGCUGAAAUUAAAGCUGAUGGCUUUGCAGUUACUGGGGAGGAAAAUGAUUAUGCUUUUUAUUGGCCUGAAGGGGGUGUAAAUGAAAAUGUUACAGUAGAAUGUGAAUCUUUUAAUAUAGAUGAAGAGCUGAGAAUGAGCAAAUGCCAAAUCCCCUCCUAACAAGCUACCUUCAGCCAUGGGGCAAAUACAAAAACCUUCAAAACUGAUUUAUAAAUAUUCAGGGGGAACCACAUUAGGCAUAUGUGGUUUUAUUUUUCAUGAAUCUAUUACAAUGAGCAGUGGUUAAGUAUGUAUGUGGAUAUUUAUAAAUGCAUGUGUAUAUAAAAAUAACUCCGGAUUUAGAAAGACUUUUAAAUAUGUGCUUAAACAAAGCCUGUAUUUUAGUUCUGUUAAACUUAGACCCAUGUUCAAUUCCUUUCCUGAUCUGGGACCCUAGGCAGUUACUUUCAUUUUCUGAGCAUCUUGACAUUACUUGGAACUGGCUCUCCCAAAGACAGUUGCCAUUUUGCAACACAAAGUCAAUAUGAUAUAUUACGGAAGAGUAUAUUCUCAUGAAGACUUUCCUAUUGUUACCAUUUUCUUUCUUUUAUCUGAAAUAGAAAUAACUCAUGUUGAAAAUGCAGCCUAUGUAUACUGGCAAUUAAAAACAAAUCAGGAAAUCACUGUGCUAUAUUAAAUCAUACGUGCCUAGUUAUGAUUUAACAUGUUGGAGAAUGAAAACAAAUUCCACCCUAUUUUGUGAUAGUGAUAACAGUGAUUUAUUUAGUGAUUUAUUUAUUUCUUUAUUAAGAUUGAUUGGUAUACAUACUUAAUGUCUUCAGAGCUCCAGAUUUUACUUCCUGUAAAGGAUUAUUUUAGCUGAAGUGUCAAACACUGCUUUUGUAAACACUAGGCAUCUUAUUCAGAAUAACAUUUUUUUUUUCCAUGCUUAUACCAUUCAUGUAUGCAUCCAAAGAUUCCGGUGGUGAGUGAAAUUAUUGGGAUCCCUUCUAACUAAAUAUAUAGUUCCUGUUUACAGCAAUGUUCUAGGUAAGUUAAAAUGAGAAGUCUUCGAAACCAGCCAGCUUUGCUUUUUUCAGAUGCAAGCAUGGUGUCUUGCAAUUGGCUGUGCUUCUUCAGUAAAAAGGCAGCAAGAGGAGACAUUGAAAACAGAGAGAAUUUGAGAGAAAGGGCAUGUGGUGACCUAACAGCACACUGGGUGCAAAUUCUGCUUUUGGUUUACACUGAAGCAACCAUGCUGAAGUCACUACUGCUGGAAUUAAGCCUUGCUUAUCCAGAUGAUCAAUAAACAAAAAGUAAUUGAUGCUACAGAACCUCAAAGUGGAGGAAAUAACCAAAAAAUGCUGAUGUGGGCUAUUCAGACCAGUUUCUUGGCUGUUCACAUCAAAGCAAGUUAAUUCACUUGUUUUUUUACAGAACUGUUUCAGCUGUUGCUUCUCUCUCUAAGCAGUGAGAUUAUGUAAAAUAUUUUCUAUGAAUAAGCACAGAGUCAUGAGGCUUGGAUCCAAAGAACCAUUAUACAUGUAGUCUUGUUGAUGAAGUCUGUCAGGGGGAAUUAAUACUGGAAAGGAUGGUGCUUAUUAUUAAUACUAGCCUCUGAGGGGAUAUUGAAAAGGGCCUAAGUGUAGAUGGCAAAUUCAUAUGACUGCAAUACAAUAUGGCAGCAGAAAAAGGACAUUGUAACUUGAUGCUGCUCACAGAGAAGCUGUAUCAGAGAGGAAGGAGAGAGCUGCGGAAAAGCGCCAAUGCAAACAGUACCUGGAAUUCCAUUUUUAGCUUGCUGGCCAGGAUGUAUUGCUGGGUAGGGGUCAUGCAUAGAGCAGCAAAGUAUCUGGGAAAUAUUUAAGAGAAGGCUGAAGUCUUAGAAUGUGUUGUUUUGCUGAGAAUGGCUGAAGAGAAACAUACUUCAAAAGUAAAGAUUUAAAUGCAAAAGAAAUGCAGGGAUAACAAUUGAACAACAUAUGAAGGGUCUCAAUACAAGGGCAGCAAUAAGAGCCUAGCCUCAGGGGCACCUCAGUGACUUUGGUGACUUAAUAUCCAUUUUUCUCAGCUUUUAACAUGUAGACUAGCUGCCAGGAAUGAGUUGACUGCAGAAACUAUCUCAGGUCAGUUGUGGUACCUGAAAUUAGCCUGGUCAAACUAUUAGGAAUACAGACUGCCGAGGUUAUGGCUUCAGGCAUAGGCUGAUUGUAGCAGGAACCAUUGGAGCCUGUCUCAGUGAAGCUGGCGAGGCAGCCUGAGAGCUCGCGCACCAGUGAAGCCCCUCGUUCUUUGGGUGGUAUCACUCAAGAUGGACAGGGCCAACUUGCUGUGCAGGCAGAGCAGGCGGUAGCCAGCAGUAGCAGAGCCAGCAGCGUUGCCUAUGCCAAAGGGCACAAGGGUUGUUUGUAAGAGGAGUGCAUGCUGCAUAAACAGCAAAUUCCUGCCUCCUCCUCCUCCGCUCUGCUGCCAAAGAAGAGGGUGAGAGUUUGCCAAAUGAAAGCAGUACUAAUCCCUUUUACACAGAUACCUGAAGAAAGCUCCACUGAUUCAUCUUGUCUUGACCCUCAUAUACCAGGACCUCUCCAGAUUUGCCCAGCCCCACCAUCCUGCCCCACUGUCCAUUAACCGGUGUUAAGACUUUCAGUUGGCUGGUGUGCUGAGUUGCUUUGGUCUUCUCUGAUGACCAGCUUCCUUACAACAACUUCCCCAACACCUUUUACUUCUCCCUGUACAUUAAGUCGCUUCGUGGGAUUUUAUUUUACCACCCGAAAGGGAGAUUAGUCACAUGAGAUUAAUUUUUACUGCUCUGAAGGGACAUCCUAGUUUGUUAUAGCUGAAUUUGUGUAGUAACUUUCACCUGGUAAAAUUGGGCCCAGGCUAGGUCUGUGCAAGCCAACAGAACAGCUCAGGGGAAGUGAGUCUGUAGACCAAAAUGAUACUGAGUGCCUCAUAGACAUGCUUCAUGCAUUUGCAGGCUUUUGUACUCAAAUCUCUUCUGAUACACUCUGGAAGUUAAAUACCCAGUAGCAAUUGAAGUGCGACAGGCCUGCACCUUCUGGUUUAGUUCUGUCUGGAAGGAAAUCUGUUCGUGCAUUUUGAAGUGGCUCCACAACAGAACCCAAAGCCGAGAAAGUGGGGGUGAUUUGAAUUAAAACUCUGAUGUGGAUGCACCCUCAGGCAUCUAUGUUUUCAAAAUAUUCUUAAGAGCCUCUUCUAGGAGAUUUGGUUUUAAAAAUUCUUGGGAAAGAACAAAUUGUAUCUGUCAGUUUGCUUUUAUCUACCAUUGUAUUAAUUCUUUCAAAGAAUUUUAAUAGGAUAAAGAGAUGCAUUUACUAUUACAGCAGCUGAAUUGUUUAUUUCUUAUCAUUUUAUAUUAAUCUGUGGUGGUUUGCAGCACUCUAUUCAAUUAUUGUUCUCAGUUGUUUUUCUUUGCACUGAAAUAAGAAGACCAUAAACAGAGCCCACAAACACACUUAUAAUAAUAUUUACUGUGUAAAGCAUCUCAUUUCAAUCUAUCAAAUGAAGAGUUUGUUUUAUGAUUGGAAUUUGAAAGAUCACUGCCAGCUUUUUUUGCCAUCUGAAUGUUUGUACCAGUUCGAACAGAGAGCACCUUGCAGAAUAGAUGGUGAAUAAAAUCUUCCCAUUCAAAGAGACCAGGAGAUUGGGUACAAGAUCAGAUUCCACAUCUGGAAGAUGUCUGUUUAUCUUAGCAUCUUUUCUGAGUCUAAGUGUAAUUGCCGUGGUUCAGCAGGACAACAGGGAGUGUAAGCACAGAAAAGAGUGGGUUUCCUAUGAAAAUGUGUGAGGUGGUGGUGGGCAUUGAUAAAACUCAAUAGACUUAGCAAGGAUCUGCUACUGAGAAAGACAAAGUUUGAAUGUCUCUUCUAUGGGCCAAAACUGCGGAGAAUGGAGAAGGGGCUCAGGAGCUGAGCUGCAAGAAAAGAGCCUAGAACUCUGAAGCAAGGACUUCUCUUCAAUUUUGGGUUCAUGCAAUGGGACCAUCUUUGCAUCUUGUUAUUCUUUCACCCUUUCUUUGACCUCUAGUGAUCAUAUUAAACUAAACAAAGCUGACUCUCAGAAAGUUGAGAUUUCCCAGCAUAUCCCUUUUCAGCAGCUAGAAGCUGACAGUGCAAGGGCCUUCUCUGUGUGCAACAAGACUCAUUACAAUGAAAGUCUAUGAACUCUCGCUCUCCUACUGUGUGUUACCCUCAUUGUAGAUCACCUCAAUGGCAACUGCAGAAACAGUAGUUCCUAAAUAAAGGAAGCUAUAAUUGUGAACAGGAAAAUAAGGGGAAAUAAGUUGUUCUUUCGAUGCAGGAGAUGUCAUAAAACGCAACAAGGGAACACUGGCAGUGGGUUAAAUUUAAACUGCGGAGCUCUAGUAGAUGCUGAGGAAGAGACAGCACAAAAUAGGCUGGAGUAAAAAGCAUAGUUAAUCCAAUAGUACCAUCUUCCUCGUGCGUUUUACAAGGGGACAAAUAAUGAAUUUUGAUUUUUUUAGGUCUGACGAAGCCAAAUUCUAGAAGAAGUCAAGGUUAUUCCUAGUUUCUCUCCAGCAACAGGAAUGUUCAUCUGAUACGAUAUGAUCUCUCUUUCCCAUCUACAAUGCACAAUGGAAUCCUCUUUAGCCAUAUUUUAAAGGUAUUAGUGAAAGCAUGAAGACAACUGGAAAAAUUGUGAAGAGAAAGUGCCAAACCAAAUGAAGUAACUUCUUUAGAAACAUUCUUAAGCAAAGCUUCAAGUGCAACUCAGGACAUCAUGUAGGGGAAAUAAGAUACUGGAUAGAAGAUAAGUUUUCUUCUGAAACAUCAAAUGAGAUGGUGAAUCAGCAAGAUACAGAAAUGUACAAAUAUUUGAGGCAGGAGGUGCUGCAGAGUAGUCUCUGUGAAAAUUAUAUAGCUAUUUACUUUUAUACUUUCUGAAUGAAACUGACUUUAGGUCUUUUAAUACAGAUGCACAAAUAAUCUUCUGGUAAUUGUAUUUACCUAUGAAUAGUAGGUUUAGAGCAUGUUCCAUUGUUAAAGACCGGGAUCAAUUGCUGCUUACCAAGCAAGUUAUGAUUUUUGAAAUGUAUAUCUUAUUUAUUUAUAAAAUUCUGGCUUGAUUAGGAUGUAAAAAGAUUUUCUUUUUUUCCCCCAGACAAAAAUGUCA